rnacentral:rRNA from 1 species
AUUGAACGCUGGCGGCAGGCUUAACACAUGCAAGUCGAGCGGGGUGAUGGUGCUUGCACUAUCACUUAGCGGCGGACGGGUGAGUAAUGCUUAGGAAUCUGCCUAUUAGUGGGGGACAACAUCUCGAAAGGGAUGCUAAUACCGCAUACGUCCUACGGGAGAAAGCAGGGGAUCACUUGUGACCUUGCGCUAAUAGAUGAGCCUAAGUCGGAUUAGCUAGUUGGUGGGGUAAAGGCCUACCAAGGCGACGAUCUGGAGCGGGUCUGAGAGGAUGAGCCGCCACCCUGGGACUGAGACACGGCCCAGACUCCUACGGGAGGCAGCAGUGGGGAAUAUUGGACAAUGGGGGGAACCCUGAUCCAGCCAUGCCGCGUGUGUGAAGAAGGCCUUAUGGUUGUAAAGCACUUUAAGCGAGGAGGAGGCUCUUUUGGUUAAUACCCAAGAUGAGUGGACGUUACUCGCAGAAUAAGCACCGGCUAACUCUGUGCCAGCCGCCGCCGUAA